rnacentral:tRNA from 1 species
UACAUUCAAGUAUAUGAGGUACGGGAAUUUUUGAUAUUUCAGGGGCUGGUUUGAAUCUAGUGUAUGUAA